AGAGUUUGAUCCUGGCUCAGAUUGAACGCUGGCGGCAUGCUUUACACAUGCAAGUCGAGCGGCAGCGCGGGGGCAACCCUGGCGGCGAGCGGCGGACGGGUGAGUAAUGCAUCGGAACGUAUCCCGUAGUGGGGGACAACCCAGCGAAAGCUGGGCUAAUACCGCAUAUGCUCUACGGAGGAAAGCAGGGGACCUGAAAGGGCCUUGUGCUAUGGGAGCGGCCGAUGUCCGAUUAGCUAGUUGGUGGGGUAAAGGCUUACCAAGGCGACGAUCGGUAGCUGGUCUGAGAGGAUGAUCAGCCACACUGGGACUGAGACACGGCCCAGACUCCUACGGGAGGCAGCAGUGGGGAAUUUUGGACAAUGGGGGCAACCCUGAUCCAGCCAUGCCGCGUGCGGGAAGAAGGCCUUCGGGUUGUAAACCGCUUUUGGUCGGGAAGAAAAGGUUCUCCCUAAUACGGAGGACUGUUGACGGUACCGGCAGAAUAAGCACCGGCUAACUACGUGCCAGCAGCCGCGGUAAUACGUAGGGUGCGAGCGUUAAUCGGAAUUACUGGGCGUAAAGCGUGCGCAGGCGGUGAGUUAAGUCUGAUGUGAAAGCCCCGGGCUCAACCUGGGAAUGGCAUUGGAAACUGGCUCGCUGGAGUAUGGCAGAGGGGGGUGGAAUUCCGCGUGUAGCAGUGAAAUGCGUAGAGAUGUGGAGGAAUACCGAUGGCGAAGGCAGCCCCCUGGGACGUCACUGACGCUCAUGCACGAAAGCGUGGGGAGCAAACAGGAUUAGAUACCCUAGUAGUCC
rnacentral:rRNA from 1 species